rnacentral:rRNA from 1 species
AACGAACGCUGGCGGCAUGCCUAACACAUGCAAGUCGAACGAGACCUUCGGGUCUAGUGGCGCACGGGUGCGUAACGCGUGGGAAUCUGCCCUUCGGUUCGGAAUAACUCAGGGAAACUUGAGCUAAUACCGGAUAAUGACGUAAGUCCAAAGAUUUAUCGCCGAAGGAUGAGCCCGCGUAGGAUUAGCUUGUUGGUGGGGUAAUGGCCCACCAAGGCGACGAUCCUUAGCUGGUCUGAGAGGAUGAUCAGCCACACUGGGACUGAGACACGGCCCAGACUCCUACGGGAGGCAGCAGUGGGGAAUAUUGGACAAUGGGCGAAAGCCUGAUCCAGCAAUGCCGCGUGAGUGAUGAAGGCCUUAGGGUUGUAAAGCUCUUUUACCCGGGAUGAUAAUGACAGUACCGGGAGGAAUAAGCUCCGGCUAACUCCGUGCCAGCAGCCGCGGUAA